GAUGAACGCUGGCGGUAUGCUUAACACAUGCAAGUCGAACGGUCACUUCGGUGAUAGUGGCGGACGGGUGAGUAACGCGUGAGAAUCUGUCUUCAGGUCGGGGACAACAGUUAGAAAUGACUGCUAAUACCGGAUGUGCCUUUGGGUGAAAGAUUUAUUGCCUGAAAAAGAGCUCGCGUCAGAUUAGCUAGUAGGUGGUGUAAGAGACUACCUAGGCUCCGAUCUGUAGCUGGUCUGAGAGGACGAUCGGCCACACUGGAACUGAGACACGGUCCAGACUCCUACGGGAGGCAGCAGUGGGGAAUUUUCCGCAAUGGGCGAAAGCCUGACGGAGCAAUACCGCGUGAGGGACGAAGGCUUUUGGGUCGUAAACCUCUUUUCUCAAGGAAGAUGAUGACGGUACUUGAGGAAUAAGCAUCGGCUAACUCUGUG
rnacentral:rRNA from 1 species